rnacentral:rRNA from 1 species
UACGUAGGGUGCAAGCGUUGUUCGGAUUUACUGGGCGUACAGGGAGCGUAGGCGGUUGGAUAAGCCCUCCGUGAAAUCUCCAGGCUUAACCUGGAAAGUGCAGAGGGGACUGUUCAGCUAGAGGAUGGGAGAGGAGCGCGGAAUUCCCGGUGUAGCGGUGAAAUGCGUAGAGAUCGGGAGGAAGGCCGGUGGCGAAGGCGGCGCUCUGGAACAUUUCUGACGGCUGAGGCUC